rnacentral:tRNA from 1 species
GGAGAAGUACCCAAGUGGCCGAAGGGGCUCCCCUGCUAAGGGAGUAGACGGUGUUGAGCCGUGCGAGGGUUCAAAUCCCUCCUUCUCCGCCA